rnacentral:rRNA from 1 species
UACGUAGGUGGCGAGCGUUGUCCGGAUUUACUGGGCGUAAAGGGAGCGUAGGCGGACUUUUAAGUGAGAUGUGUAAUACGCGGGCUCAACUUGGGUGCUGCAUUUCAAACUGGAAGUCUAGAGUGCAGGAGAGGAGAAUGGAAUUCCUAGUGUAGCGGUGAAAUGCGUAGAGAUUAGGAAGAACACCAGUGGCGAAGGCGAUUCUCCGGACUGUAACUGACGCUGAGGCUCGAAAGCGUGGGGAGCAAACAGGAUUAGAUACCCU